rnacentral:rRNA from 1 species
UUAAAAUAUUUAUUAUUAUUUAAAUUUAAAUAGAAUUUUUUAAAAAUAAUUUAAUUUUUAGUAUUUUUUAGAAAAAUAUUAAUUUAUUAUAGUUUAUUAGUAUUGUAAGAGAAGAUAUUUUAAUAUUGAAAAGAAAAAUUCAAUUUUUGUACCUUGUGUAUCAGGGUUUAUUUAAUUUAUUUAAAAAUUUAAUAUUCUUGAAUUUAAAAGAUUUAAAAAUUUAUUAAUUUUAUUAUAAAAUAAAUAUUUUUAAUUAAUUUUUUGGAUUGAAAUAUUAUUCGUUUUUAAGUAUAUCUAGUUUUUUUAGAAAUAAAUUUAAUUUAUUUAUUUAUAAUAAUAUAUUUAUAUAUUUAAUUAUAUGAUAUAAAUGAUAAAAAUUUUUAGGGAUAAGCUUAAAAAUUAAUUUUUAUUAAAAAUAAUGUAUUUUAUUUAAUAUUAGGAAUAAAAAUUUUUAUAUUUUAAUAUAUGUUAUUAUUUAUUAUAAAAAUAAAUAAUUUUUUUUUUUAUAAAUUAUUUAUUAAAAUAUAAUUUUUAAUUUUUAAAAUUUAGUAAUAAUGAUUAAAUUAGUAUGAUUAAUAAGGUUUAUUAUUAGGUAAUUAUUAAUUAUUUUAAAAGAAUUCGGCAAAAAUUAUUUUCGCCUGUUUAUUAAAAACAUGGUUUUUUGUUAAAAAUUUAAAAUUUGGCCUGCCCACUGAUAAAUUGAAUGGCCGCAGUAUUUUGACUGUGCUAAGGUAGCAUAAUCAUUAGUUUUUUUAUUGAAAGCUAGAAUAAAGGGUUGGACGAAAAAUAUUCUGUUUUUAUUAUAAUUUAUAGAAGUUUAUUUUUAAGUUAAAAAGCUUAAAUUAUUUUAAAAGACGAGAAGACCCUAUAGAGUUUUAUAUAAUUAUUAAUAUUAUUGUAUUUAUAAUUAAAAAGUAUUAUUUAUGAUUAUAUUUUAUUGGGGUGAUUUAAAAAUUUAAUUAACUUUUUAAAUAUAAAAUAUUAAUUUAUAAAUAAUUGAUUUAGUGAUUUUAAUUAAAAGAUAUAAUUACCUUAGGGAUAACAGCGUAAUUUUAUUUGAUAGUUCAAAUUGAAAAUAAAGAUUGCGACCUCGAUGUUGGAUUAAAAUUUAUAUUUAGUGUAGAGGCUAUAAUAAUUAAGUCUGUUCGACUUUUAAAAUUUUACAUGAUCUGAGUUUAGACCGGUUUAAGCCAGGUCGGUUUCUAUCUUUAAUUAAAUAAUAUAUUUUAGUACGAAAGGAUCAAU